rnacentral:rRNA from 1 species
GACGAACGCUGGCGGCGUGCUUAACACAUGCAAGUCGAACGGAAAGGCCCUGCUUGCAGGGUACUCGAGUGGCGAACGGGUGAGUAACACGUGGGUGAUCUGCCCUGCACUUCGGGAUAAGCCUGGGAAACUGGGUCUAAUACCGGAUAGGAGCCAUUUUUAGUGUGAUGGUUGGAAAGUUUUUUCGGUGUAGGAUGAGCUCGCGGCCUAGCAGCUUGUUGGUGGGGUAAUGGCCUACCAAGGCGGCGACGGGUAGCCGGCCUGGGAGGGUGGACGGCCACAUUGGGACUGAGAUACGGCCCAGACUCCUACGGGAGGGAGCAGUGGGGAAGAUUGCACAAUGGGCGCAAGCCUGAUGCAGCGACGCCGCGUGGGGGAUGACGGCCUUCGGGUUGGAAACUCCUUUCGCUAGGGACGAAGCUUUUUGUGACGGUACCUAGAUAAGAAGCACCGGCUAACUACGUG